AGGACCCUCAGUGCCUUCUGCUUAACCAUGUUCUAAUGGGACAAAAAUGAAUGACAGAACAGUAGUAGUAUGAACGGUCUGGUUGUAAACCCUCACCUUCGACGGCCCAUCUCUCAUCUUCUUCAUCUGAUCUUUGUACUUCACCAGCUCAGCGUCCAGUCUGGCGAUCUUCUUGUCUACUGACUCCGCCCUGGUAUCCACCUGAGAGUAGGACACAAAGACCGACGAAAUGGAUGCAAAAGCCUGUAGCUGACAGAGUGCCUAUGAGCAAGGCUCUGAAUGUUAUAUAGUCGAGGAUAUUGCUGUUCCCUUUGAGACAUUUUACAAAGAAUUACAGAAAAAUAACGUAAAAAAACAAAAAUAAAAACUGGAUUUAAGACUUUUUUGUAACAUAUUUACCAAAGAAACUUAGCACUAACUAGAUGUAGUGACCAAAGUUAAUGGAUGACUAAACUAUUCUUAUGGUCUGAUUCAAACUUUUGUCAAUUCUGAAGUUUGAAUGGUAAGUAUUGUAAGAUUUUGUGCCGGAAAUGAAGAGGAUUUUAUUUUAUGGAUUUUGACUUUGUUGAGAUCAGAUGAUGAAAUUCUUGUCCAGAGAAAUUCACUGUAGAUCAAAGACGCUGAAGAAGUAUCUUGUAACUGAUGAUGAAUCUGUGCUGAGAGUGGACUGGGUCCAAGUCUGCCGUGGGGUCAGGACCUCUGUGCUACAUGGCUGAGGUGACGUGGGUCAAGCCCAGGUCGUGAGAGUCUUCUUUUCCAAUGUGGGAGAUUGAAGACAGUUCCACUGCUAGUCAGACAGAAGUCCUUGAAGCAACGCUUGAAGUUCUCGUCCAGGAAGGCGUAGAGGACGGGGUUCAGGCUGCUGUUGGUGUAGCCCAGAGCCACGCAGAAGAAGUAGGCCGCCGUGAUGGCGGUGGUCUCGGGCACGCUGGCGAG